rnacentral:misc_RNA from 1 species
UCUGGGUUUAUCCCAGCGGUCCCGUCAGAGAGAUUUAACUGACGGCGAGGGUUGCGCUCGUUGCGGGACUUAACCCAACACCUCACGGCACGAGCUGACGACAGCCAUGCAGCACCUGUGCUAGCUCCCCGAAGGGUCCUUCACCUUUCGGAUCCGUACCACUAGCAUGUCAAGCCCUGGUAAGGUUCUUCGCGUUGCAUCGAAUUAAACCACACGCUCCGCCGCUUGUGCGGGCCCCCGCCUAUUCCUUUGAGUUUUAACCUUGCGGCCGUAGUCCCCAGGCGGUGAACUUAUCGCGUUAGCUGCGCUACUUGACAUUUUAAUAUGUCCAACAGCUAGUUCUCAUCGUUUACGGCGUGGACUAC